rnacentral:rRNA from 1 species
AACUAAGCGAGCUACUUUCAAACAACCUAUCAGGGCUAACCCAUCUCUGUAGCAAAAGAGUGGGAAGAUUUUUAAGUAGAGGCGACACACCUACCGAGCCUAGAGAUAGCUGGUUAUUCAGGAAAAGGAUCUUAGUCCUACUUUAAGCUUCUUCACUCACCAUAAAUACUAAACAAGCUUAAGAGCUAUUCAAACAAGGCACAGCCUGCUUGAAAAAGGAAACAGCCUACGACACAGGGUAAUGAUUAAUUUAUGUGACUAAGUAAGCCUAAAAGCAGCUACCUUCCAAAAAGCGUCUAAGCUUCCUCACUAAUCUUUAUAAUCCCACUACCUACACACAACCCCCAACCACUACUGAAUGACCCCAUACCAAUAUGGGGGACAUCCUGCUAGAACUAGUAACAAGAAGAAGACCUUCUCCAAAAUGUAAACGUAAGCCAAAAAUGAACAACUCACCGGCACUCAUCGCCACAAACCUAUAGUAUCAACUCACCUGCGAAAACCAUACUACACUUAGCGUCAACCUUACACUAGAACAUUACCGGAAAGA